rnacentral:rRNA from 1 species
CCUACGGGUGGCAGCAGUGGGGAAUAUUGGACAAUGGGGGCAGCCCUGAUCCAGCCAUGCCGCGUGUGUGAAGAAGGCCCUCGGGUUGUAAAGCACUUUCAGUGAGGAAGAACGCCUGGUGGUUAAUACCCAUCAGGAAAGACAUCACUCACAGAAGAAGCACCGGCUAACUCCGUGCCAGCAGCCGCGGUAAUACGGAGGGUGCGAGCGUUAAUCGGAAUUACUGGGCGUAAAGCGCGCGUAGGUGGCUUGAUAAGCCGGUUGUGAAAGCCCCGGGCUCAACCUGGGAACGGCAUCCGGAACUGUCAAGCUAGAGUGCAGGAGAGGAAGGUAGAAUUCCCGGUGUAGCGGUGAAAUGCGUAGAGAUCGGGAGGAAUACCAGUGGCGAAGGCGGCCUUCUGGACUGACACUGACACUGAGGUGCGAAAGCGUGGGUAGCAAACAGGAUUAGAUACCCGGGUAGUC